UACGGGGGGGGCAAGCGUUGUUCGGAAUUACUGGGCGUAAAGGGCUCGUAGGCGGCCAACUAAGUCGGAUGUGAAAUCCCCAGGCUUAACCUGGGAACUGCAUCCGAUACUGGAUGGCUUGAAUCCGGGAGAGGGAUGCAGAAUUCCAGGUGUAGCGGUGAAAUGCGUGAGAUAUGUGAGGAAUACCGGUGGCGAAGGCGGCAUCCUGGACCGGCAUUGACGCUGAUGAGCGAAAGCUAGGGGAGCAAACGGG
rnacentral:rRNA from 1 species